CCUACGGGUGGCAGCAGUGGGGAAUAUUGGGCAAUGGGCGCAAGCCUGACCCAGCAACGCCGCGUGAAGGAAGAAGGCUCUCGGGAUGUAAACUUCUUUUCUCAGGGACGAAGAAAGUGACGGUACCUGAGGAAUAAGCCACGGCUAACUACGUGCCAGCAGCCGCGGUGAUACGUAGGUGGCAAGCGUUAUCCGGAUUUACUGGGUGUAAAGGGCGUGUAGGCGGGACUGGAAGUCAGAUGGGAAAACCACGGGCUCAACCCGUGGCCUGCAUGUGAAACUGUAGUGCUUGAGUACUGGAGAGGCAGACGGAAUUCCUGGUGUAGCGGUGAAAUGCGUAGAUAUUAGGAAGAACACCAGUGGCGAAGGCAGUCUGCCGGACAGCCACUGACGCUGAGGCGCGAAAGCGUGGGGAGCAAACAGGAUUAGAUACCCGAGUAGUC
rnacentral:rRNA from 1 species